rnacentral:rRNA from 1 species
AGGCGGGAUUACCCGCUGAGUUUAA